rnacentral:sRNA from 1 species
AGCAUGCAGUUCGGUCAUCUGAGGGUGCUGGGGCCGUGGUUUGAGCAUCACGGGCUCAGGUCCAUGGCCGUUGAGUGUGGCGAAACUGAGGCACGCUGUGCGAGGGAGGGGGGGUGCUCACAGAAGGUAGGGGGCCUCCUGUGCCUUCAUCCAGGCACUGCCUGGCCUUUCCUACCCUGUUACUAAAGCAGGUGGUGACAGAGGUGAUUUGAUCAGCCCAGGCUUGUGCGGCACGUGGAGCCUUCGUCCGUGGGAGACCACACUGCCGAGGGGCAGGCCAGAACCGAUGGGCCUCUGAGGCUUCUCUGAGUGACCCUGAAGUCGGUGCUGCUUCAGCCCUGCUGCACUGGGCUUGCACACCUGGGGGAGCAGGGAGCCAUACGUAGUUUCCGCUGUAUGUAGGAGUCACCAGGACAUCAGUGCCCACCUCUCACCUUCGCCACCCCUGCCUCCCUCAGUGUGGGCUCCAGGAGGUUUCGCGGCCCCUGGAGAGGUUUUUGGUGGUGGGCUUGUUGCGUCUCUGGCUUCCAGAGACAGCAGGAAUGAGAGCCAGGCCGGCUCCGUGGAGCCCAUCCGGGUGGGUGCACGGCUUUUGCAGGAAUGGAAGCCCCGCCCCUAGGAGGGCCACUGCUGGCCAGGCUCGAGAUCUUUCUGUGACCCGAUCCCCCUGGUCACACGCUUUGCUAAGGCGGGUAGCCUAGAGCUGGAAGCCCCUCCUGCCACCCAGCCGCUGUGCCUCUCCCAGCUGAUGGACGAGGAUGCCUCCAUUAUUUGAUAUUUGUUUAUUUAUUUAUUUAUUUAUUUUUGAGACAGGGUCUCAUUCUGUCACCCAGGCUGGAGUGCCGUGGCACGAUCAUAGCUUAUUGCGGCCUCGGCCUCCCAGGCUCAAGCGAUCCUCCCACCUCUGCCUCCAGAGAAGUAGGGACCACAGGUACGUGCUACCACACCCAGGUAAUUUUUGUAUUUGUAUUUUUUGGUAGAGAUGGGGGUGUCACUAUGUUGUCCAGGCUGGUCUCUAACUCUUGGGCUCAAGUGUUCCUCCCGCCUCGGCCUCCCAAAGUGCAGGAUUACAGGUGUGAGCCACCACACCAGCCCGCUUUCGUCAUGUUAAGAAGACCCCGGCCAGCAGCUCACUCGGGGACUGCAGGGAACCCUGCCCUUUGGGGGCAGUAGUGAAAGGUGCCCAGGAGGAUGGGGUGGUCAGCAGGCAGUGAUGCUGCUGUGUCCUAUCUCAGACCCCCCAGUUCCCUUCAGGAUGAUGGAGGAUGCGGAGGCCCCGGGAGAGCAGCUCUACCAGCAAAGCCGGGCCUACGUGGCUGCCAACCAGCGGCUGCGGCAGGCGGGCGACACGCUGAGGCAGAGGUGUGAGCUCCUGCGGCGAGCCGGAGAGGACCUGGAGCAGGAGGUGGCCCAGAUGAAGCAAGCAGCGCUACCAGCGGCCGAGGCUGCCUCCUCAGGCUGACCUCUCGGGGCCCGCAGGCCUGGGCAGCGCACAAGGUGGCCUGCGCCCGAGCUUUCCCUGGGGGUCCGUCAGCCCCAGUCUGGCAUUCACGGGAUCCCAGACCACGUGGGUGUCUGACACAGGCGCCCCUCCUGAUGCUGGGGCUGCGGUUCAUCCAUCGUCCCAUUCAUGCCAAGUUGGCGGGACCCACCCAGCUGGCUCCGUCCUGCGUGACCUGAGGGCCCACUGGGGUUCUGGAAGAGGAUAGGGACAUAACUGCUGUACUGUGAUUCUGUCCUCGGCACACAGUGGCCGUGCUCUGCAGUGGGGCCCCUGGGAGCAGGCGCCACCUCCUUCCUCCCCCGGAGUGUGGGGAUCGAGGUGUUAACUGUGAUUCCAUCCAGCGGGUACCCACCCAAUGUCAGAGCAGCCCGAGGGCCAGCAUGAGCCCGUGACCCCACUUCCUUCUGGGCUCCGGGCUCCUCCCACGAGCCAUGUUGAUCUUCACAACGACCCGGGGCCGCUGGGGUCACCCAAGAGAAGCAGCCCUGAGACGCGGCCAGGCUGGGCCCAGCUCCACGGCACGGGUGUCUCCCAGCCACUGCCCUUGCUGGAGGACUGCUGUGAGUCACUGGCCAGGAGUCCAGGGUGUCCUGGGUCUCAUAACCACCCUGCCGGCUGGAGCAGGUCCUGGGCCUGCUUCCCUGCGGGUUCUGGCCCUGGGGGAAGGGUCGUUAGUGCAGCGGAGGGUCUUGCCAAAGGCUUUUCAUCCUAAGUAGCAACUUGAGUGGAAACCUGGGCAAGGCGGCCCAGAGGCCGGGCCCUGCACAUAAACACUUUUGUGUGUGCGCUUUUGUGUGUGUC